GCUACGGGUGGCAGCAGUGGGGAAUAUUUCACAAUGGGGGAAACCCUGAUGCAGCGACGCCGCGUGAGUGAAGAAGUAAUUCGUUACGUAAAGCUCUAUCAGCAGGGAAGAAAAUGACGGUACCUGAGUAAGAAGCCCCGGCUAACUACGUGCCAGCAGCCGCGGUAAUACGUAGGGGGCAAGCGUUAUCCGGAUUUACUGGGUGUAAAGGGAGCGUAGACGGUGCGCCCAGUCUGGAGUGAAAUGCCGCAGCUUAACUGCGGAACUGCAUUUGAAACUGUUUCCCUAGAGUGUCGGAGGGGGAAUCGGAAUUCCUAGUGUAGCGGUGAAAGGCGUAGAUAUUAGGAAGAACACCAGUGGCGAAGGCGGAUUACUGGACGAUAACUGACGGUGAGGCGCGAAAGCGUGGGGAGCAAACAGGAUUAGAUACCCCAGUAGUC
rnacentral:rRNA from 1 species